rnacentral:rRNA from 1 species
CCUACGGGAGGCAGCAGUGGGGAAUAUUGGACAAUGGGGGGAACCCUGAUCCAGCCAUGCCGCGUGUGUGAAGAAGGCCCUCGGGUUGUAAAGCACUUUCAGUGAGGAAGAACGCCUGGUGGUUAAUACCCAUCAGGAAAGACAUCACUCACAGAAGAAGCACCGGCUAACUCCGUGCCAGCAGCCGCGGUAAUACGGAGGGUGCGAGCGUUAAUCGGAAUUACUGGGCGUAAAGCGCGCGUAGGUGGCUUGAUAAGCCGGUUGUGAAAGCCCCGGGCUCAACCUGGGAACGGCAUCCGGAACUGUCAAGCUAGAGUGCAGGAGAGGAAGGUAGAAUUCCCGGUGUAGCGGUGAAAUGCGUAGAGAUGGGGAGGAAUACCAGUGGCGAAGGCGGCCUUCUGGACUGACACUGACACUGAGGUGCGAAAGCGUGGGUAGCAAACAGGAUUAGAUACCCUAGUAGUC